AGAAGUCCUGUGGUUAUACUGGUUUCUUACUUGGCUGGGAAAUACUGCUGGGUGGGGUGCUUGGCUUGGGCUCUCUUUCUGGUGUUGGAGGUGGGCUGCACAUCAGGCCUGGGUGUGACUCUGGCUGACCCCUAUGGAUGAGGAGGUAAUAAUCAUAGAAACCCCAGUGACAUGCUCCAAGCGGGGGGCACCAGCUGAGCAGAAGGACCUUGCUCCUAGUAAGAGACUCUGCAGCUCCCUGGCCCCUCUAGGGCCACCCAUGAAGCUGGAGUCCCUGGAGCAGGCAGGUGUCGGCAGCUCCACGGCCACGUGUCCAUGUACACCCUUCCUUAGUGCCCUGGUUCCCAUUGUGCGGGAGGCACUGCAUGUCUUCUCUGCUGGGCGAGGACUGCCCCAGCUCCUGGAGGCUGUGCAAGCAAGGUCCAACCUAGACCUGGCCCAGCUGGGAGGCACCAGGGAGCCUGAGAGGGCUCUUGUACUGGUCCAGCAACAACCUGGGGUCUGGCUAGAGAUGGGCAAGAAAACCACUGCUCAACUAUCUGGCCCUGGCCCCAGUGAAGACUGGACUGCUGACCACUGGCACCCAAGGGAGGAGGGACCCAUGAAACCAGCUGGCACAGAAGAGCUUGUGGGUGAUUGCCUGGCAUCCUCUAAUUGGUGUCCCCCUCUGCCAGCUCUCUGCAGCAGCCAGUCGCUGCCAGCUGAGUGCUCUGAGCACUGCUGCACACCUUCCCAGCAACUGCAGAAACCUGCUCAGUCAAGGAAAAAGAAGUCUUUGCAAGAUGAAGCUCUCUCUGCUCUUGCUCCUUUGCUCUGGUGUAUCCUGCGCCCCUUCAACCAGGGGUUGAGCCUAAGCAAAAUGCUGGAGGUUUUGAAAAUGAAGCAUGACAUGGACUUGGUGGUCCUGAGCCAUGAGGCGGGAUAUGCGGAUGUCACCAAGCUACUGGCCCGGGUGCCCGGGCUCUUGCUGCGCAGAUCAGGAAAGCAGAAAUGUAUUGUUAUCCUUUCCACAGGUAGUGCCUAUCAGGCAGGUGGUAUCAAGAUCCCAUGACAGAGCAAUGAAUGCAGCUGUGAUGGCCCAGGGAGUAGGGUGAGAGAAGACCCUGGCUAGAAUCUAACCAUGGUAUCUGAUUGAACCAGCUGUACAGCGAGGAAGAGCUGGGCAUCUUGUGUUCAACUGUUGGUCUUACUUCCCAGCAAUGGUAUUGUGAACAACUCUUGUGACGGAAGAUGCUCCUGCCAUCCUGGAUCCUGGGCUGGCUGAGAAGCUCCUCAACACUCCGGGUUGGGGGAGGGCAUGGUACUAGGGGUUCCCUACUGCAUGCAACUUACUGUGAAGAAGGAAGGAAUAAAAAAAAAAAAACUUCUCCCCUUUGCUGGCCUUGCAUUUAGCCCUGGAUCUUGCAGGGAAGGGGGCUUCCCUGGAUCAUGACAUCUGCUUUCUAAUAAAAGCAGCUGCUCUCCUCAGCACUGGUGUUACUCCCUUCCCCAUUUGACUUUGCUCCCUGGAAGGGGAGUCCUCUCUGACCUGUUCUAAAAAUAACCUCCAAACCUGCCUUAAACCUGGCAGUACCCCCUACCCUGCCCCAAUCCUAGCUGGUCAGCUUCAUUUUUUGUAGCCCCUGGGUGGGUGCCUGAAAGUUAGGGACAGCUGAGAUGGCUGUAUUUUACAAGGGGGGAGCUGGACACCAGUAGGCUACAGAACCCUGGAUCUACUGUUCUAAAGUGAUUGGGUUUGUUUGUUUGUUUUUUUUAGUGUUUUCCCACUGCUGGUUGCAGCAGGUGACAGCUUGUAGUGAGUAUGGCUUUCUAAUGCAUUUUGGUUGUUGCUUUUUCUUUCCCUCUCCCUUCUGAGAUGAAGGCCACAGGGCUCCAAUGUCCUCCAAGCCCUCUUUCUCCUCCUCCUCCUCCUC